rnacentral:rRNA from 1 species
UACGUAGGGUGCAAGCGUUGUCCGGAAUUAUUGGGCGUAAAGAGCUCGUAGGCGGUUUGUCGCGUCUGCUGUGAAAACCUAAGGCUCAACCUUGGGCUUGCAGUGGGUACGGGCAGACUAGAGUGCGGUAGGGGUGACUGGAAUUCCGAGGUGAUAGCGGUGAAAUGCGUAGAGUAUCUGGAGGAACACCGGUGGCGAAGGCGGCAUUCUGGACCGACAUUGACGGCUGAGGAGCGAAAAGCCAGGGGAGCAAAGCGGG